CAAACAAGACUUCCUUACGUGAUGUAAGGCGGCGCUUUCAGCAGCGUGCUGUAUGCUUGCAGCAGCUUGUUAUGUCAUCUCGGUAUAUGUAACUUGUACGUACGCACGUCGAUAACUGCAUUUCUUCGCGGGAGACAAAGAACUUCAGUAUGCUUGGAGCAGUGGUGGUUGGCAUCGGCAUAGCUGGUCAGGUGAGGAUUAGAGACCUGCUGGCACCACUACAUGGCAGUCCUGCAGAGAAACUUGCCGUGAGAGGAUUUAUAUCCAGGAGAAGCCUGGACCCUCUGCAGGGAGUGAGUCAGAUCUCACUGGAAGAGGCUGUGAGAAGAGAAGACAUUAAUGUGGCGUUCAUCUGUACUGAGAAUCUGUCACAUGAGGACAAUAUCAG